rnacentral:rRNA from 2 species
UGGGGAAUAUUGGACAAUGGGGGGAACCCUGAUCCAGCCAUGCCGCGUGUGUGAAGAAGGCCUUCGGGUUGUAAAGCACUUUAAUUUGGGAGGAAGGGCUUACGGUUAAUAACCGCUAAGUUUUGACGUUACCAAAAGAAUAAGCACCGGCUAACUUCGUGCCAGCAGCCGCGGUAAUACGAAGGGUGCGAGCGUUAAUCGGAAUUACUGGGCGUAAAGCGCGCGUAGGUGGUUCAUUAAGUUAGGAGUGAAAGCCCCGGGCUCAACCUGGGAAUUGCUUCUAAAACUGGUGAGCUAGAGUAUGGUAGAGGGUGGUGGAAUUUCCUGUGUAGCGGUGAAAUGCGUAGAUAUAGGAAGGAACAUCAGUGGCGAAGGCGACCACCUGGACUGAUACUGACACUGAGGUGCGAAAGCGUGGGGAGCAAACAGG